rnacentral:rRNA from 1 species
GUGUCAGCAGCCGCGGUAAGACGUAGGAGGCGAGCGUUAUCCGGAUUCACUGGGCGUAAAGCGCAUGUAGGCGGCUGGACAAGUCUUUCAUGAAAGCCCCUGGCUCAACUGGGGGAGGUUGGAGGAGACUGUUCGGCUGGAGGGCCGCAGAGGUCGGUGGAACUCCCGGUGUAGCGGUGGAAUGCGUAGAGAUCGGGAAGAACAUCAGUGGCGAAGGCGACCGACUGGGCGGCAUCUGACGCUGAGAUGCGAAAGUGUGGGGAGCAAACGGGAUUAGAUACCCCAGUAGUCC